UAAAGUAAUAAUCCUCAGAAGUGCAGAAAGAAGCCUUAAAAAGUCAAAGUGGAAAAUUUUCCAGUACGAGAAGGCAAAUGAGCCUACAUUUAUUUUUGUAAAAGUCUGAUGGAUUUUAAUUCGAUAAUAUGCCUGGGAUGGGAGGGAAAAGGCAGAGAGGGCUGACUCAUGUUUUUUGAAUGUUUGGGGUUAGCACCAGUGUGUUUGGCAAAUUCUUAUGUGUACUUAAUAUGUGUGAAGGAAAUUAUAAUUGGUCCAUAGAUGAUUUGUUAGCUAAAAAUAGGGCUAAAGCUGUAAAAAUAUUUGUAACAUAAAAUUUCACCAACUCUUCAUCAUUCUUUAGCGCUUUUCUCAAAACACAUUGCUAACUAUGGGGUCUCUAAACACCUCUCCGUGGUAAUUUAUUUGAAGGUUGAUGGCAAAGCUGAAGAUGCAUUUCAGCAUGUUGAGCGAGAUCUGCAAAGGCUGUUAAACGAGAUGAGGACCUACCAAGCUAAUGGAGUAACUCCUUCUCAAUCACAACAUUGAACUGCCUCACUGAUUUCCGUGCCUUUAUCUUUCCAGUACCCCUUAAUUGCUUUGGUUCUGUAUUCAUAAGUGAAGGUGCAAUGAUUCAGCGUUUUGGCCGUCUGAGCUGUCUGUCCUUGGUGGUUGAAAACAUCUCCAAAGCAGAUCUGUGUCUCCAAUCUAAUAAAACCCACUGACUUACCCUGCAAUCUUUACUGAUUGCCCUGUUGCUGUGAGGUUGUGUUUCCCAAAACAGGCAGAGAUGUUGCAAUACACCAUGAUGAAACAUCUGGAAAUUGAAAAGCAACUACUGCAGGAAUCCUGAGUUGAACUCCUUGCAUGCUUACUGCACUCUGCCUUUGGCUGGCUUACUCAGGCUUUCCCUUGUAAACUCUGGAGUGAAUCAUUUAAUCUGCUGGACCGGAGUUAGAGAAACCCUGGAGCAGCUCAUUCAUUCACUGGCGAGGCUGCUCUUCUGCUCUGCAGUGGCUGGGACAGCCUAUGCUUGCUCCUUGACUCAAAAGAAAAUGGAGGCAGUUGUCCUACAAGGGAAAGAAGCUUUGCUCUGCAGAGCUGAGGACAAACUGCACUGAGGCUCCAACCUGCCACGGCAGGAAACGGACAAUUGGGAAACCCAUGGCAUGACUGCUGCUGAGCUUAGGAUUGCUCAAAAAAUGCAUUCCACUUGUAUAGUAGAGCCAACAAAGCCAUGGGGUUAAGGAACAGGUAGGCUCCCUUUUCUCUAAAGCCAAGGUGCUGGUGAUGGAUCCAUAUAAAAAAAGCUAUGGAAAAACUGUUGCCUCACAUUACUUUAAUCCUCCAUAGUUAGUGCACAGUAACUUGAGUUUUGGGGUGGUUUAAACCAUCUAGAACAUCACCUUAUGGUGGCUUUACAGGACAAACAGGAUUAUUUUCUACUAGUGCAUUCACUUGCGGCUGGAAGCUUUCUGAAACUUUCUGAACAUAUUGUUUCUGUCUUGAAAAUACAUUUUUUUUUCCACAAAUAAAACUUUUGGAAAAAAAAAAAAGAA
rnacentral:lncRNA from 1 species